AAGACGAAAUAUUGUCUACGGUCUACAGCCUACAAGUAACAGGCGCUUUAGAUCAUAUCAUAAUAUUGUUAGUCUAAGUUAAGUGUAUGAAGUACAAUAUGAUCUAAGCAUCGUAAUAAUAUUCGUAUUAUAAGUAAUUUUUAAUACUGUUUUAAUUGAAGUUUAAUACCCAAUGACCGAUGUUUUUUUAAGUUUUAAAUUAUAUGUUCGUAAUAAUAUGGUGAAUGACCAUUUGGUAAUUUACAUAAUACUAUGACAAUUUAUUCAUUUUAAAUAUUAUACUAGAUUUUUACUUGAUGAAGAACUGUUAACGUAGCCGCGUGGUACUGUAUCGCUGAAAAAAUUCAAAAUGUUUUUCUGGUUGCUACUUGCUAGGCGACGUCGUCGUUACUCGAAAUCUGUUAGAAAUAAACGGUGACGAAAAAAAAAUGUACACAUAGCAAAAACAUUAUCCAUGUUACAAUAGAGUGGAUUGUGUUUAUUUCUCAGAGAACCAUUGAAUUCCUAUUCAAGAAUAAUGGUUGUUUCGUUUAUGAUGAUACCAAUCCUGACAUACGUGACAAAUCAAUUGAAGUGACUAUUAUUAUCCAAUGUGCACAAUAAAUCCAAAACAUUUAAGAUGGAUGGUUGCAAUUUGAUUGUGAAGAUUUUUGUGUUCAUAUUGAAGACCAUAGAAGAAGACAAAUAAUUUUUGUACCUAACAUAUUAUUUUUAUAUUGAUUGUAUCAUUCGUAUCAAAUUUAAUACUUGAUAUUUGCUCCUUUUUAAAGCUUAUAGGAAACAAUAUUAAGUUUGAUUGGUCACUAACUAUUUUGAACUGAUUAAAUGGGCCUGCAGCAACCAUUCUAUAUAGAUGAAAUAUAAAUACAAAUAAAUUAAAUUGGUUGACUGAUACUGUUUUUCCCAUAACACAA